rnacentral:tRNA from 1 species
AGAACUGCUAAUUCUUACCCCUGAAGUUAAAUUCCUCAGACCCCUCACUUUUAAAGGAUAAAAGACAAU